rnacentral:misc_RNA from 1 species
CCCAGGCAACAGAAGCCUGCCCAGGCCCAGAAACGGAAAAAGAAGGGGGGCAAAGGGGGAAAAUGGUGAUAGAUAGAAAGAGACAAAAGAAAGAAAAUUGUGACAGAAGAGAAAAGCAAUAAGGAAUCAAAAAUGAAAGAAUUAAUGUUCACAAGUUUAUAACUCAACAUCUCUCUGUGUGUGAAAUUUAAAUUUUUCAUUGUUUUCAAAAUUGGGCUAAAUGUUGUCUGUAUUUGUAUUGAUCUUGGUGCAAGAAAUUUGUUGUUGUUAUUAAGAAAUAAUUGGAGAUAGAGUACACUUAUAUUUAUUUGCAUUGAAGAAUUUAAUUCUAAACAGAAUAUUGAUUCUGUACAAAAUGAUUAAUUUGAAAAAUCAUGUUAUGAAGUUAUGAAUAAAAAUUUGAUCAUUCUG